rnacentral:rRNA from 1 species
GAUGAACGCUGGCGGCGUGCCUAAUACAUGCAAGUCGAGCGAACGGACGAGAAGCUUGCUUCUCUGAUGUUAGCGGCGGACGGGUGAGUAACACGUGGAUAACCUACCUAUAAGACUGGGAUAACUUCGGGAAACCGGAGCUAAUACCGGAUAAUAUUUUGAACCGCAUGGUUCAAAAGUGAAAGACGGUCUUGCUGUCACUUAUAGAUGGAUCCGCGCCGCAUUAGCUAGUUGGUAAGGUAACGGCUUACCAAGGCAACGAUGCAUAGCCGACCUGAGAGGGUGAUCGGCCACACUGGAACUGAGACACGGACCAGACUCCUACGGGAGGCAGCAGUAGGGAAUCUUCCGCAAUGGGCGAAAGCCUGACGGAGCAACGCCGCGUGAGUGAUGAAGGUCUUCGGAUCGUAAAACUCUGUUAUUAGGGAAGAACAUAUGUGUAAGUAACUGUGCACAUCUUGACGGUACCUAAUCAGAAAGCCACGGCUAACUACGUG